rnacentral:rRNA from 1 species
AGGGAAUCUUCCACAAUGGGCGAAAGCCUGAUGGAGCAACGCCGCGUGGGUGAAGAAGGUCUUCGGAUCGUAAAACCCUGUUGUCAGAGAAGAAAGUGCAUGAGAGUAACUGUUCAUGUUUCGACGGUAUCUGACCAGAAGCCACGGCCUACCACUGGCCAACCGCCCGCGGUAAUACGUAGGUGGCAAGCGUUAUCCGGAUUUAUUGGGAGUAAAGGGAACGCAGGCGGUCUUUUAAGUCUGAUGUGAAAGCCUUCGGCUUAACCGGAGUAGUGCAUUGGAAACUGGGAGACUUGAGUGCAGAAGAGGAGAGUGGAACUCCAUGUGUAGCGGUGAAAUGCGUAGAUAUAUGGAAGAACACCAGUGGCGAAAGCGGCUCUCUGGUCUGUAACUGACGCUGAGGUUCGAAAGCGUGGGUAGCAAACAGG